ensembl:lncRNA
ACAGCUUUCCUUACAUUGACCAGAUUCAAGAGUGCCUUUUCCAGCGACUGUAGGCAGCUGCGACGUGCCAGGCCUCAAAGUUGGUGCUGGUUUCUGCCUUCCACCCUCCCAAUGUUGGGCACGGCAAGUUGUGGCUUGUACAGGGACCUCCUGAGAUCAGAACUUCUUGCAGUGAGGAUGGCACUGGAAAGUUCCCAAGGUAAUUGGACAGGAGAAUUCGAUUUCUUAAUGGAUCAGCUACGUGUAGCCAUCAUGACCAUGAAAUCCACACGUGCAGAUGCUAGACUGGCUACGGGAUUGUCAUCUUGGAUUGAGGCUGCUAUGAAUCAUCUGAGGGAGUGGGCGGGUAUGGGAACCCUAGCUUGACUCUUGCUGCUGGUCUCCCUAGUGCGCCUGUGG